GUUGAGACAGAUUCGAGUGUCCUUGUGUUUCUAAUCCAAGUAAUGUAGUCGUUCACAAAUUCAUUCAUUACUUAACGUCACGACCAAGAAAUAUUCAUCAGGAACAGGAAGGGGGUUAGAAAGGACAUUUAUUUUCAUAUCUGAGGAGGGGUCCUCCAGGUACGAGAUCCCAGAUGUACAAUCAAGAGUCAAAGGUCAGAGUUCAGUGUGCUGCUCCAUGUUGGAAAUGUAGACGCUCAUGUUCAGGCAUGUAGACGGUCCUUCUGGAGGUGGAGGAGGGAGAAGAGGAGGUGGCGGAGGAGGAGCUGGAUGUGAAGGAGGAAGAGGAGGUGAUGGAGGUGAUGGAGGAGGAGCGGGAGCUGGAGGAGGAGGCAGAGGGUGGGAGGUGGUGGAAGAGGGGAGGUGGUGGAGGGAGUUGGAGGAGGUGGUGGAGGAGUAAAGUUGCAGGGGGGAGGAGGGGCAGGAGGAGGGGUUGAGGCUGGUCGUAUUGAUGUGCUGCCAGGCGUGUUCUCUGGUCCGUGGGGAGCUGUAGGAGGAGGAGGAGGAGGAGAGGGGGGGCAGGGGGGGAGGAGGGGGGGAGGAGGCCAGUCCACAGGCCUGCCAACAGCCGCUCUCCUUUGGCGGGGGAUCACAGGCCUGGAGCCGGGCCCAGUAGGGGGACUCCCCCCACGCUCUACGCUUCUCUGGGCCUCUGGUUGCCUCCGGCUCUCUGGUUCUCUCUGGUUCUCUCUGGUUCUCCAGCUCUCUCUGGUUGUCUGGUUCUCCGGGUCUCUGGUUCUCUCUGGUUGUCUGGUUCUCCGGGUCUCUGGUUCUCUCUAGUUCUCCGGUUCCCUCUGGUUCCCCAGGUUUCUGGUUCUCUGGGUUUUUGGUUCUCUGGUUCCCCGGUUCCCUCUGGUUCUCUGGUUGCCUCUGGUUCUCCGGUUUUCUGGUUCUCUGGUUGACCCUGGUUCUCUGGUUCCCUCUGGUUCUCCGGUUCCCUCUGGUUCUCUGGUUCCCUCUGGUUCUCUGGUCCUCCGGAUCUCUCCGGUUCUCCGAGCAAAGCAGGACAGCUCAGAGCUCUGCAGACACACACCAACAGAGCGGCUUACAGCUGGAGUGUAAACCCGUUAGUGACGGAGGCUGAUCAGCCUGCUUACAAUGUGUUUAAUGUCAAGGAGCAGUCGGUAACUGAUCAGCCUGCUUACAAUGUGUUUAAUGUCAAGGAACAGUCGGUAACUGAUCAGCCUGCUUACAAUGUGUUUAAUGUUAAGGAACAGUCGGUAACUGAUCAGCCUGUUUAAACUGUGUCUAAUGUUAAGGAACAGUCGGUAACUGAUCAGCCUGCUUACAAUGUGUUCAAUGUUAAGGAACAGUCGGUAACUGAUCAGCCUGUUUAAAAUGUGUUUAAUGUCAAGGAACAGUCGGUAACUGAUCAGCCUGUUUAAAAUGUGUUUAAUGUCAAGGAACAGUCGGUAACUGAUCAGCCUGUUUAAAAUGUGUCGAAUGUUAAGGAACAGUCGGUAACUGAUCAGCCUGUUUAAAAUGUGUUUUAUGUCAAGGAACAGUCGGUAACUGAUCAGCCUGUUUAAAAUGUGUUUAAUGUCAAGGAACAGUCGGUAACUGAUCAGCCUGUUUAAAAUGUGUCUAAUGUUAAGGAACAGUCGGUAACUGAUUAGCCUGUUUAAAAUGUGUUUAAUGUUAAGGAACAGUCGGUAACUGAUCAGCCUGUUUAAAAUGUGUCUGAUGUUAAGGAACAGUCGGUAACUGAUCAGCCUGUUUAAAAUGUGUCUAAUGUUAAGGAACAGUCGGUAACUGAUCCUGUUUAAAAUGUGUCUGCAUGUUAAGGAACCUAGUUGAGGUAGAUGUCUUGCAAACCUGUUUGGAUUCAUGAUUUACCGCUUGGUGGAAGUAGUCUUAAUUCUGCAAGAAAAACACAACAAUCAGAUAGAGGAGGACAGACGGACGUAGGCUGAUGGAUGUUAGUUGGACUGAUCUAAUGGGUCAAUGGUAAGAGAUGUAUGGGAACUGAUUCUGAGUGUUUCCUCCAAUCAGAGAGCAGAGGUCAGGAGAGCGAGGAGAGAGGAGGAGGGAGGAGGGAGGUGAGAAGGGGAGGAAGGAUGAGAGAGGAGGAGAGAGGUGAGAAGGGGAGAGGAGGAGGAGGAGGGAGGUGAGAAGGGGGGGGGGGAGGGAGUGAAGGAGAGAGGAGGAUAGAGGAGGUUUUGGAGGACAGGAGAGCGGUAGAGGGGGAGCCUUGUGGAGGUGACGAUUAAAUCCAUGCAGGAACACUGAAUGAGUCAGAGAGAGAGAGAGAGACAGAGAGAGAGAGAGAGG
ensembl:lncRNA